UACGAAGGGGACUAGCGUUGUUCGGAAUUACUGGGCGUAAAGCGCACGUAGGCGGAUUCGUAAGUCAGGGGUGAAAUCCCGGGGCUCAACCUCGGAACUGCCUUUGAUACUGCGGAUCUCGAGUCCGAUAGAGGUGGUGGAAUUGCGAGUGUAGAGGUGAAAUUCGUAGAUAUUCGCAAGAACACCAGUGGCGAAGGCGGCUCACUGGCCCGGAACUGACGCUGAGACGCGAAAGCGUGGGGAGCAAACAGG
rnacentral:rRNA from 1 species